rnacentral:rRNA from 1 species
GCACUCCUACGGGGGGCAGCAGUAGGGAAUAUUGCUCAAUGGGGGAAACCCUGAAGCAGCAACGCCGCGUGGAGGAUGAAGGUUUUCGGAUUGUAAGCUCCUUUUGUUAGAGAAGAUAAUGACGGUAUCUAACGAAUAAGCACCGGCUAACUCCGUGCCAGCAGCCGCGGUAAUACGGAGGGUGCAAGCGUUACUCGGAAUCACUGGGCGUAAAGAGCGCGUAGGCGGAGUAGAA